ACAUAUGGCUAUGUCACCCUGAACAUGCCCGAUCCUGUCUGAUCUCGGAAGCUAAGCAGGGUCGGGCUUGGUUAGUACUUGAAUGGGAGACCACCUAGGAAGACUGGGUGCUAUAGGUG
rnacentral:rRNA from 1 species